ensembl:lncRNA
AGAUUUCACCAAGAAGCUAGAAGGAAGAAAAGGGAGAAUUUCAAGUCUUCAUCUGCAAAAAAAAUGAAUGGCUGUAGAAGAGAUAACAAUAAGUGAAGAAGAGAUCAGAGGGAAGUCAUGCUUCAUACGUGCCUUUGUUUCCACAGCAUGCGUUUGCUCAUCACAACCAUCACAGGAUCUGAGCUUGCCACCUCUACAAAUCUGCAGAGCUCACAGCUUGUGAUACUUUUCAAAUUAGCUUGGAAAUGACUUCUCACCUGCAAGUGAUUGCCUCAUUAUUCUCUUCUAUGCUGACCUUAGCCUACUUGAAACAAGGAGUUCACCAAAUCAAUGCAGCAUUUUAUGGUGCUGUAGACUUAGAGUGAGAGUUUCCAAGGACCUGUAUUUAAGGUGGACAACUUACCACUAAACAGACAGGGAGACAAUGGUAAAUGGUUGAAUUCUUCCUCCCCUUUCAGUGCUCAAUAGUUGGGGUGAAAAACAGCAUCAAAUUUGCAGAGCUAGAGCACAAUAAUCCAGAUUCAUCUUUACUAUUUAAGAUUUUUUAGUUAUAAGCAGUAUUUACAACCUACUGCGGUGUACUAGCAGCCUUUGCAAGGCUGCAGCAAUAUUCAGUACUACAUGUAUGCUGUAUUUCAUGAAAAACAGAAGUUCAUGUAAUGUGACCUUGUAUAUGUCUACAUUCAAAUGUAAUAUUUUUCUGCUUUUUAAUCCUUCUUUAAUAUUAGUAGAAAUCUGGCUCAGAGCUGUACAGUACCAUAACCUUUUAUAUAUUUCUUGACCUCUCUUUCGGAUAAAGAUUCUGAUGGCAAUGUAUUAUGAAUACCAGUCAGUCUGAGGCCUAAAUGUAAUUUUUUUGAGCAAAGUAUUCUCUGACCAAAUAUAUUUUUGGUAAAAAAUCCAUAAAUUUUUUAUUGUUCCUAUUCUGCAACCCUGCAAAUAUGGUAGAAACGUGUCUUUUUUCUGCUUCAAAGAUAAUGUUUUAUGCAAUUGUGUCAUUUGAAUGAAGGCAGGAAAUAAAAUCGUU